rnacentral:rRNA from 1 species
GAUGAACGCUGGCGGCGUGCCUAAUACAUGCAAGUCGAGCGAACAGACGAGGAGCUUGCUCCUCUGACGUUAGCGGCGGACGGGUGAGUAACACGUGGAUAACCUACCUAUAAGACUGGGAUAACUUCGGGAAACCGGAGCUAAUACCGGAUAAUAUAUUGAACCGCAUGGUUCAAUAGUGAAAGACGGUUUUGCUGUCACUUAUAGAUGGAUCCGCGCCGCAUUAGCUAGUUGGUAAGGUAACGGCUUACCAAGGCGACGAUGCGUAGCCGACCUGAGAGGGUGAUCGGCCACACUGGAACUGAGACACGGUCAAGACUCCUAAGGGAGGCAGCAGUAGGGAAUCUUCCGCAAUGGGCGAAAGCCUGACGGAGCAACGCCGCGUGAGUGAUGAAGGUCUUCGGAUCGUAAAACUCUGUUAUGAGGGAAGAACAAAUGUGUAAGUAACUAUGCACGUCUUGACGGUACCUAAUCAGAAAGCCACGGCUAACUACGUG